UAGAUUGAGACGCGCCCCCUGCGUUUGUUUGUUGUGAGACGAUUUGCGGCUUAGGGCGAUGGCACAGCCUGAAAUGGGAUAAAAAUGGUCCAGUGGAAAUCUAUUUUUCUUUGACAGUAUUUGCCAGUCCAGUAAAGCACUGGAAUUUGUUUUUGCAUUUCCUCGGCACGGAUGUGACACCAAGUUAAAGUGAACAAUUUUGCACGAGGUGCUUAGGCCCACGCGUGCUGUCGAAAUUUUUCGUGGUCAUGGCGAGAUGGGAUGCAAAAAAUCUUGAAAUUCGUACAAGAUCUGUUGAACAAGCUCUCGUGCCAUUAGUUGCACAGAUCACAACACUUGUCAACCUAAAAGAGCGAAUAAAACUUACAGACAAAAGUAAACAGAUUUUAAAAGCUGCUGGCACAAAUAUACAGAAAGCAAUUGACAGUUUUUCAAAUGUUGGCCAAACCAUAGCUGCAGAAAAUGAUGAUAUUGCUGAUGACAUGAAUGAAACCUGUUCAGAAGCUUUAAAAAGUGGAGAGAUCAUUCUUAAACUUACAGACUUGAAUGAGAGCCUGUCUCUUGAUAAAGCUGCUAUUGUUCAAGUGUCUAGAGUGCUACUUGGCUCAAUUACUAGAAGCCUGCUUCUAGCAGAUGUUGUUGCUGUCAAAAAGCUGGUCAGGGCCGCAGAAAAGGUGGAUGAAAAGCUGAGAGAGUUGGAAAAUGUACAUAUUUUCACAGAUUUUGUUCAAGCUUUUAGCCAGUUUGGAGCAGACAUGGUUGAGCUGGCCCAUGUUUCUGGUGACCGUCAGAAUGACCUUAAAGAUGAUAAACAAAGGGCUGAAAUGUGUGCUGCAAGGGCUGUUUUGGAAAAGUCAACAAUGAUGCUUCUCACAUCUUGCAAGACGUGUCUACGCCAUCCUGACUCUCCAUUGGCUCUCGGAAAUCGCAGUGGCGUUUUUCAGUGCAUGCGGACUGCUAUGUCAACUCUGAAAGAAAUAGUUCAGGAAAAUUCGUACGAACCAUCACUUGAAAUGUCUAGAGGACUAGGAAUGGAGUUUAAAGACUUUGAGGUUGCUGUAGAGGUUCUGUUUCAGAGGCCAGAUGACACCGAGAUAAGGCCAGAAAUAAUGGAUAAGUUGAAAAAGAUAAUUUCGGACUCAGAAAAUUUAAUCAACUCAGAAUUUAUUCCAAGUCCUAAGAAAAAUCGGAUUAUGGCCUACUGUGCAAAUCUGAGGGAUCUAUUGCAGGACCUGAUUGGGGAAUUCAAAACAUGCAGUGACGAAUCCUUGGAUGAAUCGCUCUGCCAAUUGUUAAAACAAAUUAGUAAAAUUAUGAAUGACAUAAAUACUGAUCUUACCAACGUGUCACUUGAUUUGCUGACAGAGGUUUUCAUAAAUCAAGCCUGGAAGCCAAAUUUACAAAAGCUAAGGCUAUCCUCCGUCAAUGGGGACCCAGGUUCGGUUGACCUGUAUGGAGAAAAACUUGAGGAAGAUUCACGGAAAAUGAAGGAGGUAUCGAAGUUAAUUUGCAACAUAACACAAAGUGAGCCGGUUGUGAUAACUGCGAAUAAAAUCGAAGAAAACAUGAAAAUAUUUCUUCCGCAGCUGGUGUCAGCAGCCAAGAUUCUAUCUGGUCAUCCUUCAAGUAAAAUUUCUUUAGAAAACAUGGAAGUAUUCGCAAAUGUCUGGGAAACUCAAGUUGAAGAAUGGACAACACUGCUAAGAAAUGUCACCCAUUUCGAUAAACGAUGCGGAAGUGAACAAUACUGGCUUUUCACGUUCAAGCCCUUAGCCACAAGAGGGUAGAUACCUUCGUUCUGUAAUUCGCAACCAGGAUGCUAUGUAUAUAAACAUGUAGACUAUAGCUAAGCAUCAGAUACCACAAACUCUUAAUUGUAAACUAGGAUACGUUCUUGAUUUUUAAAACAUAUUAAAAACAAUCGGUAAAUAGUAUAACAUGUUUACUUUAAAAAAGGGCGAUCUCUUAAAAUGUUUAAACCUUGGCUCAGAAGCCGACAAUUGAAAUCAAGAUCUACGUUGUGCUAAAACGCACUAAUUUUUAUCCCUCGUAGUCUUUUUAAAAACAGUGAAGAUCCCGCUAUGCAAUCUUAAGGCUAAGUUAUCUACAUUUUAGCACCUGUCUUGGCAUGUUGAAAUUUUGUUGUUUUUUUCUGCAACAUAAUCCCUCACUACAAGGCGUGUACAUAGAUCAUAGGUUGUCCGGACUCAAUUAUCUGAGUUCCGGAUAACUGGAACGUUAGCUUUUUUAAGUAAACUUGAAUCCACACAAUGUUCCCAAGUUUAAAACUCGGUCGAAGAUACUUUGUGCCCUAGGAUUUCUUAUCAACACACGUCGAUUAUGAAUUCACUGAUUAUCUUUGUUAUGUCAACGACCCGUUUUUAUUCAAAGAAGUAAAUCCUAUUUCCUCUUUGUACUGCCUAUUAUCGUUGGAUCUGAGCUUAUAAGUUUUGAGGCCAUUUUAAGGGACAGUCGAGUUAAAAACAGACCAAUUCUAUCAAGGUAAGCAUAUCUGUAUUAGACAGUCAAUGGUAAUUUUCUAUGAGCAGCAUUUCGAGCAUCUUUGUGACAAUCUUGUUCACGUUGCAAGCAUUAAUCUAAAAUCGUAUUGGUCGUGGACAAAGAGAAUCAAAAUAUUCCUAAUCCUGAUACCAAAUUUCGAUUUCUCUUGAAACCGUCAACUGCUGACAUUGAAACUGUUGAUAAACAAAAUCCGUCCAAUUAUUGAUUAGGAAGACUGUUUUAUUAUUAUUUAUUAGUAGAUCUUGUCAAUUUAUUAUCUUAUCAUACUGUGUCAUUCUCUUAUUUUUCGGAGAAACUGAAAAUUUGAGAUUACCUAGCUUAAAAAGAAAAUUGAAGAGAUUGAAGACCAGAAAUAGCUCCUAAAGAUUUGUUUUGGCAAGUCUUAAGACAAUGGCUGUUAAAGUGGAUAUUUUUAAACGCUGACCUCUCAUUUUGCAUGCUAUCCAGCGAGACCUCUAUUUCCUCUUACUUGGAUAAAACACUUAUGUUUCUUAAAUUUUUGGUAUAAUUAUCUGCCUCUCUGACGGAAUUAUCAUGCCGGGAUCUUCACUGUUAUUAAAAGUGCAUAUGUAUAAGAAGAAUGCUGGAGACUAUUCUCUAGUGCCUAUGCCUCUUGUUUUGAGAUACUUCGUGAUAUGGGGAAUAUUUGCACGUCUCUGUAACUCAUACUAGAAGGAUAGAAAGACAACUGGCUUUCUAGAGUAGCGUAUUAAAAUGAUAAAUUCCCUUGCUACUUACAAAGACCCAGUACUAUUAUACCUUAUAUCAAAGUAUAUUUAGCUUAGUAUACUAAAAGCUGUAAAUCAGAUGUAAAUCUCUUAUUACUAUAAAUGUGUAUCUUGUAUAUUCAUUUGUGUAUUCAAAGAUUGGUACUCGUUUUUCUUUACAAGGGGGAUAACUGUAUAUGCAUUUAAGUACCAACGCCUAUAAGGCUUCUUUCUUUAUUCUGUAUUUUAUAUCGCGUAUACCCUGUUUUUCGUAUGUUAUAUACAUGAACGUUCUUUUCCAAAAUGUCUGUUUGUUCUGUUAUUCCGCAGUCGACUCCGAUAAUAAUUACACUGUUGGUUGAAGUCACUUUGAACUUGUAUCUAUUAAACUUUUCAAGCUAGGUCUAAUGUAACUAUAAUGAGAGUCGAGUGAAGCAAAAGAUAGGCUGAAACUUUAUCGUUUCGUUUAAAUUUUACGUGACUCUUGAUUCCUGUUUAUAUACCAAACUAUCCAACGGUCUUUAGGUUUGGUUCUAUUUUUCGAUAAAAAAGCAUUACGCCUAUUUUUGAUUUUAUUAGUGAAGACGUUCCCUGAAUGAUUGGAAAAUCUGUGACCAGAAUUUUGCACUUAUGAGUAAAUUUAAGAGAGAAACGAGACAGCGAUAAAAUAGUUCAGAGCCACACUGGGAGUAAUCAGGCAAACACAAACGUCGGUCGCUCUGUUAAUUAAUUUCAGUUGAUAAGCCAAAUUAAUGAUAAAAAUAAAUCUCAGUGUAACGCUAUACUAAAUUGUUCAAAGUACAAAGGAUAAGAUGCACAACGAGGAGACACAUUAAUAUUUACAAACCUCGGAGAGAGAGCAUGUUAAUUUCUUCAGAUAAGCUGUCGUCAAAGAGAAGUAACAAAGACGAUUCUGAAGAAUGCAACACAUUAUAGCCUUUCUUGACAUUGAUAUCGCUUAUAAAAUUUUUGUGCCCUUCCACAUAACUUAUAAUCCACAACAUAAUGCCUGUAUUGCUAGGAAGAUUAUAUUUAAUAUUAUAUAUCGUA